rnacentral:tRNA from 2 species
CAAAGAAUAGUUUAAAAAAAAAUGAUAAUUUUGGAGAUUAUUGAUAAAAUAUAAUAUUUUUUCUUUGA